UAGGGAAUAUUGGUCAAUGGGCGAGAGCCUGAACCAGCCAUGCCGCGUGCAGGAUGACGGCCUUCUGGGUUGUAAACUGCUUUUAUAUGGGAAGAAAAAGCUCAUGCGUGAGCAAUUGCCGGUACCAUAUGAAUAAGCACCGGCUAACUCCGUGCCAGCAGCCGCGGUAAUACGGAGGGUGCAAGCGUUGUCCGGAUUUAUUGGGUUUAAAGGGUACGUAGGCGGAUCUUUAAGUCCGUGGUGAAAGCCUGCAGCUUAACUGUAGAACUGCCAUGGAUACUGGAAAUCUUGAAUUCAGUUGAGGUAAGCGGAAUUUAUGAUGUAGCGGUGAAAUGCAUAGAUAUCAUAAAGAACACCUAUUGCGAAGGCAGCUUGCUGGACUUGAAUUGACGCUGAGGUACGAAAGCGUGGGGAGCGAACAGGAUUAGAUACCCCUG
rnacentral:rRNA from 1 species